rnacentral:rRNA from 1 species
UACGUAGGGUGCAAGCGUUGUCCGGAAUUAUUGGGCGUAAAGAGCUCGUAGGCGGCUCGUUGCGUCGGCUGUGAAAACCCGCAGCUCAACUGUGGGCUUGCAGCUGAUACGGGCGGGCUUGGAUUCGGUAGGGGAGACUGGAAUUCCUGGUGUAGCGGUGAAAUGCGCAGAUAUCAGGAGGAACACCGGUGGCGAAGGCGGGUCUCUGGGCCGAUAUCGACGCUGAGGAGCGAAAGCGUGGGGAGCGAACAGG